GGAUUAGAUACCCUGGUAGUCCUAGCCGUAAACGAUGAGCACUAGGUAGUGGCAGGUCUGACCCUGUCUCUGCUGGAGCUAAUGUAUUAAGUGCUCCGCCUGGGGAGUAUGGUCGCAAGGCUAAAACUCAAAGGAAUUGACGGGGGCUCACACAAGCGGUGGAGCAUGUGGUUUAAUUCGAAGCAACGCGCAGAACCUUACCUGGGUUUGACAUGCAUGGAUUAGCCUCCUGAAAGGGAAGUGACGCGGGUAACCGUGGAACAUGCACAGGUGCUGCAUGGCUGUCGUCAGCUCGUGUUG
rnacentral:rRNA from 1 species